ACAUGCCCCCCUCCUAUCGCUCUCUCUUUCUUUCCGUGAGAAAACCAGCCCCCAGUGCCCCCCUGUCACUCUUCUCUCACGUAGAGGAGCCAUGAACUUGGGAGAGGAAGGCAAGUUGCGAGACCCAUCUUCAAUAGGAUAUCAUCAUUGAGGUAACCCUAGCUCUCAAAUUUUUAACUUGUUUGGUUUAGUGGCUGCAUCAUGGGUGGAUGCAGAAAAACCUAGGUCAUAGGCUUUGUCAAUGCCGAUUUCCUCAGCAACCUUCCAUGUCCCAACGAUGUGUAUUCGUGCCUUUGGAGUCCUCACACCUAAGAGAUCCUAACAGGACAAGAUUUGUGAAAAUUAGCAUGGCAUAUUGAGAGCAUGUUGUUAAUUAUUAAAUUUGAAAAUUUAGUUUGGGCAUGUUUAUUUUUAAA